rnacentral:rRNA from 1 species
AUUGCCUCAGUAACGGCGAGUGAAGCGGCAACAGCUCAAAUUUGAAAUCUGGCGCCUUCGGCGUCCGAGUUGUAAUUUGUAGAGGAUGCUAUUGGGUUGCCACCGGUCUAAGUUCCUUGGAACAGGACGUCACAGAGGGUGAGAAUCCCGUAUGUGACCGGCCAGGCGCCUUCUGUAUAGCUCCUUCGACGAGUCGGGUUGUUUGGGAAUGCAGCCCUAAAUGGGAGGUAAAUUUCUUCUAAAGCUAAAUACCGGCCAGAGACCGAUAGCGCACAAGUAGAGUGAUCGAAAGAUGAAAAGCACUUUGGAAAGAGAGUUAAAAAGCACGUGAAAUUGUUGAAAGGGAAGCGCUUGCAAUCAGUCUCGACGGCGGCUGUUCGGCCUCUCUUCUGAGUGGUUUAUUCAGUCGCCGCCGGGCCAGCAUCAGUUUUGGCGGUUGGAUAAAGGCGUGGGGAAUGUAGCUCCUCCGGGAGUGUUAUAGCCCCGCGUGCAAUACGGCCCGCCGGGACUGAGGUCCGCGCUUCGGCUAGGAUGCUGGCGAAAUGGUUGUAAGCGGCCCGUCUUGAAACACGGACCAAGGAGUCUAACAUCUACGCGAGUGUUUGGGUGUCAAACCCGUGCGCGAAAUGAAAGUGAACGGAGGUGGGAACCGCAAGGUGCACCAUCGACCGAUCCUGAUGUCUUCGGAUGGAUUUGAGUAAGAGCGUAGCUGUUGGGACCCGAAAGAUGGUGAACUAUGCCUGAAUAGGGUGAAGCCAGAGGAAACUCUGGUGGAGGCUCGCAGCGGUUCUGACGUGCAAAUCGAUCGUCAAAUUUGGGUAUAGGGGCGAAAGACUAAUCGAACCAUUCUAAAAGUACCGAUUGAUCAGCAGGCUUGACGCUACUUAACAAUUUUUGCUUUAUCGCACGGAAAUCAUUUUGCGCUUUAUUGCCACAAGACAUGCCUGCGUGUCACGCUUUAUUUUUUGUUAAGAAAGUAGCAAUCAAUCGAAAGUCUACUAGGUGGUUAGGAGGCGCCUCAAAGUGAGCGUCUAGUCCCACGGUCUGGGGCAACACUAUCAAAUUGCGGGGACGUCCUGAAGCUUUAACUACCGCAUCUAAGUCGAAAGUGCUUAGCAUCGCACCGGGUUAGCGACCCCGGGUAUGGUAAUAACGUUAGAGAUUGGAUAAUCCGCAGCGAAGCCCUAAGGGACAGUGGCAGGCGCAAUGCUGCCACUGACCUAUGGGUAGCGUUCACAGACUAAAUGGUAGUGGGUGGAUCUCUUUAGCUGUACGAUUUGUUACGUUUUGCCCAAACGAACAAGGUCCAGUAAAGAUAAGGGAUGCCGCUUAAGAUAUAGUCGAUCCCACGUUGAAAGGCGUGUCUGUGGGCUAAAUCCGUUGGUAAGACACUGGCCAGUAGAGACCACGGGGGUCUUUUGCUGGCGCCGAUGGACCCGAACUCACAGAGUCUAGUGGAAAACACACCCUAGACCGGGCGAAGCAUAUCAGGAAAGAGUGGGGAGUUGGCUUACAACUAUUAUUAUUUAUUAUUAUCUGAAUGUUCGCUUGGUGUAGAGAAAU